AAGGUUGUGAACUUCCCUGUGAACGGCAAGAUUUCCUGUAUGUCUAUAGAGCAGAAACAACAGCCGUCUGGACGAAUCUCCUCUUCAAAGGAACAGUCCUCGAUGGAAUAGCUGAGCUGAACAGCAAGGAGUAAAACCAGUUACAGACGUGCCUGCCAGACUCACUGCAUUCAGUUAAGAUUGUGUGAAGAAGAGCCUAUUUGCUUAGGUAUGCAUUUGUAAAAGUACAUUUGUGACAUACUGCAGAGACCUCCCAUUAGGAUCUAGGACCACCUUCCCACAAGCACUGCGUUUGGUGCAGCGCUGGUGUUGUUUCAGGCACAGUCACUGCAGGUGAUUGAACUCCUGGUCAGCAAAAGGAGACUGCUGACAAUGCCUCAGCCUUCAGUGAUAAGUGAAUGCUUAAUAUAUAUUGUAUUUGCUACCUUUCAGUCUUUUCUCAUGGCUGUCAAGAAUACGGAGUACAAUUAAAUACAUGCAUAUGAGUAUUGAUUAAAAGCCCUCUUUAAACUAAACAGGUAAUCAAAAAAAGGGCCUCCCCCCCCGCCCCCCCC